rnacentral:lncRNA from 1 species
ACCCUCCUUUCACCUUGAUAUCCUCUACCACCUUGAACAAGUUGUGGUACUUGAACAUGCACAACCUUCAAGAAAUAGAAGCAUUGGUGUUAUUUCAAAUGACAUCACGACUGCCUUAGAUUAAAACUUGAAGGAGGUGACAUUCCCCAGAAAAGUUGUUCACCAUACCAUCCCAUGUUGGGUUGCCCCCCAGUCCAGAUCAACAGUUUGUUGAGGAAAAGCUUGGAAUUCAGUUGAUGCCUAUUCUUGCUGUGAAGAGGAGCAAUCUGAACUGAAGGGGAGAACAGACUCCAAACAAGAGUAGAUGUGAUGACACCAAGAUAGAGCAGCCACAUAUUACCUCGAGAGGUUAACCGGAAUCCAAAUCAACAGAAUAUG